rnacentral:lncRNA from 1 species
AUUAAGCUUGAAAUUAAUUUAAUUAAUCCAACCAGGGACUUAAUUGAAGAAAUAUCAAAGUUUGAGGUUUAAUUGGGGUCCAAAUUGAGAAAAUUAAAAUCCAAGGACCAACUUGAAAAUGGCGCAGAAAUGUAAGGAUCCAAUUACAUUUUAAUCAGGGGUUUGAUUGCAAAUUAGAAGAAUCGCAAGGACCAAAUUCGCAACCAGCAAAACGGCACCGUUUUCUCUGCAACUGUUCACCAUCUCUGCAACGGCUCUGCAAUUAAAGGCAGAGGCGUUUCGUCCGUUGGCGCUGACGUUUCUUCAUUGAAGGCGCCGGUUACGGGACAUUUAGGAGGGCAGCCGUUUCCACCACCAAGGCUGCCGCUGUCUCUAUAAAAGCUAAGCGAAGGAGACCUCGCGAAAAAAGGGGAGGAGACAGAGAAAGAAAAACCCGAAAACCAGAGCACAAAACACACAGAGAACAAAAAACCCAGAAGCAGAGUGAACAAAAAGGAGUUAAACAAAGAGCUAAACCCAUCUUUUGUUUAGUCCCAGAAUCCAAUCACACACAACCGAAAAAUCAGAGAAAAAACGAAACAGGGAAAAAACAGAGAGACCCGCAGAAAUAAAAACGCAGAGAGCAAGGGAGAAAAAGGGCAGCAUACACACAUAGUGACAAGAAUUAUCUUUGAAACCGUUUUCGUCCCUGCAAACAAAGGAAAGACCAGUAUUCAUUCAAAGAACAUCACAGUAAACCGGCUCUUCAUUAUUGUUUCCUUCAUCAUCCCAAGAGCUGCGGGAAGACUGAAGUAUACGGGCACAGAAUCAAAAGGAAACAAAAGAAAGCAGAAGAAGGAGAAGAGCAGAGGAUGUAGUCGGCCAGCCAGAGCUUCGCCACCGUCUCCAUCGCCUCGCAGACCAGGUAAGAA